UGUUGGAGGGUGAGAGUGGUGGUUCAUCACCGUCUGUGUCAAUGAUGAAGAAGAAGCUUGGUGUUACAAAUCCAAUUUCAAUUGCUGGUCCGACUGAAUCUGAUAAGCUUAGAAUUGGAGAAGGGGAUUAGAGAGCUCAUACUACGACAGAAUGGGUUAGUUCUCUGUUAUCAGCAAAACGCACACCAAGUGCUUGUGUAAAGGCCUGAACAAGGGUUCAUAUGGAGAUCAGGAGUAUGCAGGGAUUUGGUUGAAUCCUGUACACCUUUAGAUCUACUCUUGUGACACAUCAGGAAUCUUUGGAGGCCAAGGUUAACGAAACCAAGGCAAUGGUUAAGUUUCAAUUAAAGACAAAUGAAGUUUUUUGGCUCAAUGUUGUGAAGACAAAUGAAGUUUUGAUGGAGUAGAUCACAGAGCGUGACGAAGGUGCUCUCAAGUAUUUGAAAGAUAUCAAUUGGUGCAGGAUUGAAGAGCUCAAGGGGCUCGAGCUUCAAGUCUUUUUUUUAGCUGCUCCUCCAGCUCUUCAGAAGCUAAGAGAGAACUUUCCUAGGCUUCAUGUGUACACUGGGACAAUCGACCCCACAAUAAAUGAGAAGAAGUUUAUAAUUCCUAGAUUUGGAGAUGCAGGAGACCGUAGAUUUGGAACAUAAAACAAUUGUAGAAAUGAGACGAGAGUGCAGAUUGAAAGGGCACAAUUAUGCCUUUUUAGGUGUUGCAGAAUGAUUUAGACAUCUUGCGGUCGUAGGUUGGUUUGUAGGUUGGCUUAAUUGAUAGUGAUCCUUAAACUUUGCAGUUUCAACCUAACAAUGAAAAGUUUCUCAAAGAUCCUAUAUGUGUUAAUUACCAAGUAUCCUCCAACCGCAUCUAUCCAUCUGGGCAAAAAGAAGACUACAAGUUGUGGAGAUUCUGGAUUUGCUGGUUUCUUUACACUUGAAUGAUGAAUGAUAAAUGAUGGCAGUAUGAAUCUCUUAUUAUGAGCUUGGUGCUACAAAGUCGAAGGAGUGUUCAUCUUUAGUUUCAAAAUU